rnacentral:rRNA from 1 species
AUUGAACGCUGGCGGCAGGCUUAACACAUGCAAGUCGAGCGGGGUGAUGGUGCUUGCACUAUCACUUAGCGGCGGACGGGUGAGUAAUGCUUAGGAAUCUGCCUAUUAGUGGGGGACAACAUCUCGAAAGGGAUGCUAAUACCGCAUACGUCCUACGGGAGAAAGCAGGGGAUCACUUGUGACCUUGCGCUAAUAGAUGAGCCUAAGUCGGAUUAGCUAGUUGGUGGGGUAAAGGCCUACUAAGGCGACGAUCUGUAGCGGGUCUGAGAGGAGGGUCCGCCAAGCGGGGACGGCGACACGGCCCAGACUCCGACGGGAGGCAGCAGUGGGGAAUAUUGGACAAUGGGGGGAGCCCUGAUCCAGCCAUGCCGCGUGUGUGAAGAAGGCAUUAUGGUUGUAAAGCACUUUAAGCGAGGAGGAGGCUCUUUUGGUUAAUACCCAGAAUGAGUGGACGUUAUUCGCAGAAUAAGCACCGGCUAACUCUGUGCCAGCCGCCGCAGUAA